AUUGUUGCAACUGCAGAAACCGGAUACAGAAGUUUCUGCAACAACUGAUGACUUGGCUAUAAAUACGAUCAACUCGCUUCGAUGCUUCACUUGCAAACUCAAAAUGAACAAGUUACUGCUUUUCGCUCUGGUGCUCGGACUUCUCUGUUUGAUUGAUGAAGGAGAGUCUUUGGGUCGUCGUCGUCGUCGUCGCUGGGUCCGUCGUCGUCGUUGUUGGCGCCGCCGCCGCUCCGGUGACAACGGUGUUGACGAGUCAACGGAAGCUGAGGAUGAAGAGAUUGAACCAGAAGAGAAACUAGAUUUCGACAACGAGUAAAUGAAUAUUUGUUUUCCACAGAAACAGGCAGAAGACGUAUCUCAUUCUCACUAAGAGCGUUUUUCAAAACACCGCUUCAAUAAAUUGACAAACAUAAA